rnacentral:rRNA from 1 species
UACGUAGGGACCAAGCGUUGUCCGGAAUCAUUGGGCGUAAAGCGCGCGUAGGUGGCUUCAUAAGUCCGUUGUGAAAGUCAAAGGCUCAACCUUUGAAAGCCGAUGGAUACUGUGGAGCUAGAGUACGGAAGAGGCGAGUGGAAUUCCUGGUGUAGCGGUGGAAUGCGCAGAUAUCAGGAGGAACACCAAUGGCGAAGGCAGCUCGCUGGGACGGUACUGACGCUGAGACGCGAAAGCGUGGGGAGCAAACAGG